ACAGAUAUAAGUUAAGUUUAAACUAUCAAUCUUCAAAAUUGGAAAUUUUAGUCUGUA
rnacentral:tRNA from 2 species